rnacentral:rRNA from 1 species
GUAGGGGAGCGUUCUGUAGGCUGAUGAAGGUGCAUUGAGAAGUGUGCUGGAGGUAUCAGAAGUGCGAAUGCUGACAUGAGUAACGAUAAUGUGGGUGAAAAGCCCACACGCCGGAAGUCCCAGGUUUCCUGCACGACGUUAAUCGGAGCAGGGUGAGUCGGCCCCUAAGGCGAGGCUGAAGAGCGUAGUCGAUGGGAACCAGGUUAAUAUUCCUGGACUUUUUAUAAGUGGUGAAGUGGGGACGAAGAAGGCUAGGUGAGCCAGGCGUUGGUUGUCCUGGUACUUGCAUGUAGGGGGGAAGACUUGGCAAAUCCGGUUUUCCAUAACUCUGAGGUGCGAAGUGGUUCUGACCUUUUGGUACAGAGAAGUCAUUGAUGCCCGGCUUCCAGGAAAAGCUGCUAGCCAUAACUUAUAGAGAACCGUACCGCAAACCGACACAGGUGGACAGGUAGAGAAUACUAAGGCGCUUGAGAGAACUCGGGUGAAGGAACUAGGCAAAAUGGUACCGUAACUUCGGGAGAAGGUACGCCCUUUUGGGUGAGGGCAUUUACUGUCUGAGCUUAAGAGGGCCGCAGAGACCAGGUGGCUGCGACUGUUUAUUAAAAACACAGCACUCUGCAAAUUCGUAAGAAGACGUAUAGGGUGUGACGCCUGCCCGGUGCCGGAAGGUUAAUUGAUGGGGUUAUCUUCGGAGAAGCUCUUGAUCGAAGCCCCGGUAAACGGCGGCCGUAACUAUAACGGUCCUAAGGUAGCGAAAUUCCUUGUCGGGUAAGUUCCGACCUGCACGAAUGGCGUAACGAUGGCCACACUGUCUCCACCCGAGACUCAGUGAAAUUGAAAUCGCUGUGAAGAUGCAGUGUACCCGCGGCUAGACGGAAAGACCCCGUGAACCUUUACUAUAGUUUUGCACUGGACUUUGAUGAUGACUGUGUAGGAUAGGUGGGAGGCUGUGAAGUGAGGACGCUAGUUCUCAUGGAGCCGCCCUUGAAAUACCACCCUGUUGUUAUUGAGGUUCUAACUUGGUCCAGUAAUCCUGGAUGAGGACAGUGUAUGAUGGGUAGUUUGACUGGGGCGGUCUCCUCCCAAAGAGUAACGGAGGAGCACAAAGGUACCCUCGGUACGGUCGGACAUCGUACCAAGAGUGUAAAGGCAAAAGGGUGCUUGACUGCGAGAGUGACGGCUCGAGCAGGAACGAAAGUUGGUCUUAGUGAUCCGGUGGUUCUGAAUGGAAGGGCCAUCGCUCAACGGAUAAAAGGUACUCCGGGGAUAACAGGCUGAUACCGCCCAAGAGUUCAUAUCGACGGCGGUGUUUGGCACCUCGAUGUCGGCUCAUCACAUCCUGGGGCUGAAGCAGGUCCCAAGGGUAUGGCUGUUCGCCAUUUAAAGUGGUACGCGAGCUGGGUUUAGAACGUCGUGAGACAGUUCGGUCCCUAUCUGCCGUGGGCGUAGGAAAAUUGAGAGGAGCUGCUCCUAGUACGAGAGGACCGGAGUGGACGAACCUCUGGUGCACCGGUUGUCACGCCAGUGGCAUGGCCGGGUAGCUAAGUUCGGACGGGAUAACCGCUGAAAGCAUCUAAGCGGGAAGCCUCCCUCAAGAUGAGUUUUCCCAUGAAGCCCGUUGAAGACUACGACGUUGAUAGGCAAGGUGUGGAAGCGCAGUAAUGCGUGAAGCUAACUUGUACUAAUUGGCUGAUUGUCUUGACCAUAUAAUCUGAG